GAUGAACGCUGACAGAAUGCUUAAUACAUGCAAGUCAACUUGAACUUCGGUUUGGGUGGCGGACGGGUGAGUAACGCGUAAAGAACUUGCCUCACAGAUAGGGACAACAUUUGGAAACGAAUGCUAAUACCUGAUAUUAUGAUUAUAUGGCAUCGUAUAAUUAUGAAAGCUAUAUGGGCUGUGAGAGAGCUUUGCGUCUCAUUAGCUAGUUGGAGAGGUAACGGCUCACCAAGGCGAUGAUGGGUAGCCGGCCUGAGAGGGUGAUCGGCCACAAGGGGACAGAGACACGGCCCGUACUCCUACGGGAAGCAGGAGUGGGGAAUAUUGGACAAUGGACCAGGAGUCUGAUGCAGCAAUUCUGUGUGCACGAUGAAGUUUUUCGGAAUGAAAAGUGCUUUCAGUUAAGAAGAAAAAAAUGACGGUACCAACAGAAGAAGUGACGGCUAAAUACGUG
rnacentral:rRNA from 1 species